AACCUUUACUAUAGCUUGACACUGAACAUUGAGCCUUGAUGUGUAGGAUAGGUGGGAGGCUUUGAAGUGUGGACGCCAGUCUGCAUGGAGCCGACCUUGAAAUACCACCCUUUAAUGUUUGAUGUUCUAACGUGGACCCGUGAUCCGGGUUGCGGACAGUGUCUGGUGGGUAGUUUGACUGGGGCGGUCUCCUCCUAAAGAGUAACGGAGGAGCACGAAGGUUGGCUAAUCCUGGUCGGACAUCAGGAGGUUAGUGCAAUGGCAUAAGCCAGCUUGACUGCGAGCGUGACGGCGCGAGCAGGUGCGAAAGCAGGUCAUAGUGAUCCGGUGGUUCUGAAUGGAAGGGCCAUCGCUCAACGGAUAAAAGGUACUCCGGGGAUAACAGGCUGAUACCGCCCAAGAGUUCAUAUCGACGGCGGUGUUUGGCACCUCGAUGUCGGCUCAUCACAUCCUGGGGCUGAAGUAGGUCCCAAGGGUAUGGCUGUUCGCCAUUUAAAGUGGUACGCGAGCUGGGUUUAGAACGUCGUGAGACAGUUCGGUCCCUAUCUGCCGUGGGCGCUGGAGAACUGAGGGGGGCUGCUCCUAGUACGAGAGGACCGGAGUGGACGCAUCACUGGUGUUCGGGUUGUCAUGCCAAUGGCACUGCCCGGUAGCUAAAUGCGGAAGAGAUAAGUGCUGAAAGCAUCUAAGCACGAAACUUGCCCCGAGAUGAGU
rnacentral:rRNA from 1 species